AAGGGAGUGCAGGAUCCUGGGAUGUGUCCCCUGGCGCCCUGGGCUCUGGGGCCUGUGCCACUGGAAUUGUGCUCCCGGGGCCACACAGUCCCCU
rfam:Canis lupus familiaris chromosome X, whole genome shotgun sequence.